ACAGAGAGAGAGCAAAUAAAUCACAGCUGCCAACGCGACUGUAAACUUGCAUAUCUGCCCUCAGCUGACACUUGCUUUGGUUGAACACACACACACACACACAAGCAGGGCCACCCUCUAGAAUAGUCUCGGGAAUAAACAAAAGCCUGCCAGUUGAAAACACAAAGACCCCUGCUCCGCUCUCACAGCUCAAAGACGGCUUGCUCUGUCUCGCCCACCCACCCUGCCUGUUACGGUUGAGACCAUAACACUUUACUGUCGCUCGGACCGCUCGCCGAGCUUUGUUCUGUGGUGCGUUUUGGCAGAGGCCGCUCCAAGGUUGUCUAACAGGGGGGUUAAAAACCAAGCCGAUUCUGUUUAUUCAGUGACUCUCUAUCCCAGUAGGCCGCAUUUCCCAAUUGGAAAAGUGGAUGAGUCAUUUUGCAGCGAGUUUCCUUACAGGGUCAUUUAUUCUUUUCAGAAGACUGAACACAACGCAGAGCAGCAGGCACAUGGAAACAUUUACAAUCCGCCUGGAGUGUGUGGUCGGUCAUGCCACCCGAUCAAAGAGUUCUCUGGAACUAUUCAUGUAGUGGGACAGCUACCAUGCGCCCCGCUACAACAGAAAUGAGGAGAAAGAGCAGGACGAGAGAAAGCAAAGAAAAUGAGAGCGUGUUUCCAUUGUGUAAUCAUUUCCUAAUCCCUGACAUUCGAUACUCCUUUGAUUUUCUCCACCAAAAACUCCCCCCUUAUUGUCCCCUCUCCCGGCCUACUUCUCCUCCGCUUCUCCACCACCUGUGGCAUUGCAUAACUGCUCAAAAAGUGGGCUUUCAAGGGAGCGCUCUGAUUCCGGGCACUGAGAAAUGACAUCACUAUUAAGGGCCCCAACUGCACAAUCAGUCUCUGUCAGGCCGGGGCGAAAGACAAUCUCUGCCUCAGAGCCACUGCAACAGAUGUGCCCGUUCCAGUAUAGAGGAGAGGGCUCGUGGGUCAAGGCUGACAACAAUAGGCAGAGUUGUGCAAUCCAAAACCCCUGAACCAGAGACGCUCUCUGUUCUGCAGGGGAGGGUUGAGCCAGCACUCGUCUGAGGGCGGUGUGUGUUCUCAAAGCUUGCUGGGACAAGUGAGCCACUUUGGAAAGUGGAGCGGUGCCAAAUGGAAACCUGGCUGAAUCCGGGAGGAUACCUCCUGCACAUUACCACUGACGGAUGACAGAUAGCAGGAAACAGAAAACACAUAUGUCAUUUCAGCGGAAUAACAUUGGGGGGGAACGAGAGGAUUUGGGAGGGGUGGGGAGAGUUCGUGCUCUCAAAAGUCGAAGAGGAGUUCAGUGGAAAUGACAGACAUCGUCACAUAUAGAAACAAAUCGGUUCAUGUGAAAAUAACGAUUCUACAGGUUGAAUGCUUGCAGUCUGCUUUAAAUAAACGCAUCUGCACCGGGGCUCUGCAGCUUUAAAGGA